CCCAGCGGUGGGGGCAGCUGUUUCAUUCGGUGUUUCGGCAAUGCUUGACGGGCAUAACAUGCUUGUUGGGGGUUGUAGUUCGCUGAUUGGAAUUGUUGCUCAUUGUACGUGGUGGUGCAUGAGUCGUAUCACGAUCGUUUGGGUAGGCAGGCUCCGUGCUCGCUGUCACGGGCUUGGUGUUUGCUACCAACGAACCGUGCGGCACUAGCUACUUUCUCGCGGAAACAAGUCAGCUAGUCAGCCUACUCCUCCU
rnacentral:lncRNA from 1 species